AACGAGGCCGACCUGCGGCUGAGUUACCUGCGGAGGGAUCAUUAAUAAAUGUUACUUCGGUAACUUAAUUAAUCCCUAACACCUGUGCAUCUUGUCGCUUCGGCGUCAUUUUAUAAACAUCAGUGUAAUGAAUGUAACGUAUUAUAACAAAUACAACUUUCAGCAAUGGAUCU
rnacentral:misc_RNA from 1 species